rnacentral:rRNA from 1 species
UACGUAGGGGGCAAGCGUUAUCCGGAUUUACUGGGUGUAAGGGGGGCGCAGACGGCGAUGCAAGCCAGGAGUGAAAGCCCGGGGCCCAACCCCGGGACUGCUCUUGGAACUGCGUGGCUGGAGUGCAGGAGGGGCAGGCGGAAUUCCUGGUGUAGCGGUGAAAUGCGUAGAUAUCAGGAGGAACACCGGUGGCGAAGGCGGCCUGCUGGACCGUAACUGACGUUGAGGCUCGAAAGCGUGGGGAGCAAACAGG